UUCCACUAUGCAGGGCAGGGGAGU
rnacentral:misc_RNA from 1 species